GAUGAACGCUAGCUACAGGCUUAACACAUGCAAGUCGAGGGGCAGCACAGUGUAGCAAUACACGGGUGGCGACCGGCGCACGGGUGCGUAACACGUAUCCAAUCUGCCCGUUACUCGGGGAUAGCCUUCUGAAAGGAAGAUUAAUACCCGAUGGCAUGUAUUUCCGGCAUCGGAGAUGCAUUAAAGAUUUAUCGCUAACGGAUGAGGAUGCGUACGAUUAGCUAGUUGGCGGGGUAACGGCCCACCAAGGCGACGAUCGUUAGGGGUUCUGAGAGGAAGGUCCCCCACACUGGAACUGAGACACGGUCCAGACUCCUACGGGAGGCAGCAGUGAGGAAUAUUGGUCAAUGGUCGAGAGACUGAACCAGCCAAGUAGCGUGAAGGAUGACUGCCCUACGGGUUGUAAACUUCUUUUGUUUGGGAAUAAAGUGAGGCACGUGUGCCCUUUUGUAUGUACCUUACGAAUAAGCAUCGGCUAAUUCCGUGCCAGCCGCCGCGGUAAAAC
rnacentral:rRNA from 1 species